AAACCAACUGGGAUUACCUUAGUAACGGCGAGUGAAGCGGUAAAAGCUCAAAUUUGAAAUCUGGUACUUUCAGUGCCCGAGUUGUAAUUUGUAGAAUUUGUCUUUGAUUAGGUCCUUGUCUAUGUUCCUUGGAACAGGACGUCAUAGAGGGUGAGAAUCCCGUUUGGCGAGGAUACCUUUUCUCUGUAAGACUUUUUCGAAGAGUCGAGUUGUUUGGGAAUGCAGCUCAAAGUGGGUGGUAAAUUCCAUCUAAAGCUAAAUAUUGGCGAGAGACCGAUAGCGAACAAGUACAGUGAUGGAAAGAUGAAAAGAACUUUGAAAAGAGAGUGAAAAAGUACGUGAAAUUGUUGAAAGGGAAGGGCAUUUGAUCAGACAUGGUGUUUUUGCAUGCACUCGCCUCUCGUGGGCUUGGGCCUCUCAAAAAUUUCACUGGGCCAACAUCAAGUUCUGGCGCUAGGAUAAAUCAUUAAGAAUGUAGCUACCUCGGUAGUGUUAUAGCUUUUAGUAGUAACUAGUCGCGUAUC
rnacentral:rRNA from 1 species